rnacentral:lncRNA from 1 species
GUCAGUUAUUCCCCAUCACCCACCAACAUAGUGAUGGAUUUGUGAGGUGGUGCUCAUCCCCCACUCUCUGCUUAUGUCCAAGAGUGCCCAGUUAUUUCUAAGGCUAAGGUUGAGGGAGGGACAUGUUACAAGGUUUCAGGACAGAGGAAAAACAGAUACAAUUCAGUGGACCAAAAUAAGGAGAGAGCUGAGUCUGUUUCUGCUUCAGCUCUAUAUUUUAAUCAAUUCUGCAUUUGGCCAGGAAGACCCACUAGAACAAUUUUUGGUAUACCACCCACUAGGAUCUCUCAUUGCGUUUUCAGAGAACUCGGUUCUCAAAUUUUAUAGGUAUGAUUUCUACAACAGAGAAACGAGAGGAUUCAUUCCCUCUAUCGCCUGACUGGCAGUUGCUGAAGAGUUUCUUAGCUAGAUGCUGUGUAUGACGUCUCCCAUCAACAGAUUCCUAAACUGGGCUGUCGACCCU